UACGUAGGGUGCAAGCGUUAAUCGGAAUUACUGGGUGUAAAGCGUGCGCAGGCGGUUAUGCAAGACAGAUGUGAAAUCCCCGGGCUCAACCUGGGAACUGCAUUUGUGACUGCAUGGCUGGAGUGCGGCAGAGGGGGAUGGAAUUCCGCGUGUAGCAGUGAAAUGCGUAGAUAUGCGGAGGAACACCGAUGGCGAAGGCAAUCCCCUGGGCCUGCACUGACGCUCAUACACGAAAGCGUGGGGAGCAAACAGG
rnacentral:rRNA from 1 species